UACGUAGGGUGCGAGCGUUGUCCGGAAUUAUUGGGCGUAAAGAGCUCGUAGGCGGUGUGUCACGUCGGCCGUGAAAACCUGGGGCUUAACUCUGGGCGUGCGGUCGAUACGGGCAUCACUAGAGUUCGGCAGGGGAGACUGGAAUUCCUGGUGUAGCGGUGAAAUGCGUAGAUAUCAAGAGGAACACCUGCGGCGAAGGCGGGUUGCUGGGCCGACACUGACGCUGAGGCGCGAAAGCGUGGGGAGCAAACAGG
rnacentral:rRNA from 1 species